rnacentral:tRNA from 3 species
GGAGUCGUGGGUGAGCGGCUGAAACCAGUAGUUUGCUAAACUGCCGAUCUGGGUAACUGGAUCCGAGGGUUCGAAUCCCUCCGACUCCGCCA